GACGAACGCUGGCGGCGUGCCUAACACAUGCAAGUCGAGCGAGUGAAUCUCCUUCGGGAGUGAAGCUAGCGGCGGACGGGUGAGUAACACGUGGGCAACCUGCCUCAUAGAGGGGAAUAGCCUUCCGAAAGGAAGAUUAAUACCGCAUAAGAUUGCAGCUUCGCAUGAAGUAGCAAUUAAAGGAGCAAUUCGCUAUGAGAUGGGCCCGCGGCGCAUUAGCUAGUUGGUGCGGUAACGGCUCACCAAGGCGACGAUGCGUAGCCGACCUGAGAGGGUGAUCGGCCACAUUGGGACUGAGACACGGCCCAGACUCCUACGGGAGGCAGCAGUGGGGAAUAUUGCACAAUGGGGGAAACCCUGAUGCAGCAACGCCGCGUGAGUGAUGACGGCCUUCGGGUUGUAAAGCUCUGUCUUCAGGGACGAUAAUGACGGUACCUGAGGAGGAAGCCACGGCUAACUACGUGCCAGCAGCCGCCGUAACAC
rnacentral:rRNA from 1 species